rnacentral:rRNA from 1 species
AGUGAACGCUGGCGGUAGGCCUAACACAUGCAAGUCGAACGGCAGCACAGGAGAGCUUGCUCUCUGGGUGGCGAGUGGCGGACGGGUGAGGAAUACAUCGGAAUCUACUCUGUCGUGGGGGAUAACGUAGGGAAACUUACGCGAAUACCGCAUACGACCUACGGGUGAAAGCAGGGGACCUUCGGGCCUUGCGCGAUUGAAUGAGCCGAUGUCGGAUUAGCUAGUUGGCGGGGUAAAGGCCCACCAAGGCGACGAUCCGUAGCUGGUCUGCGAGGAUGAUCAGACACACUGGAACUGAGACACGGUUCAGACUCCUACGGGAGGCAGCAGUGGGGAAUAUUGGACAAUGGGCGCAAGCCUGAUCCAGCCAUACCGCGUGGGUGAAGAAGGCCUUCGGGUUGUAAAGCCCUUUUGUUGGGAAAGAAAUCCAGCUGGCUAAUACCCGGUUGGGAUGACGGUACCCAAAGAAUAAGCACCGGCUAACUUCGUGCCAGCCGCCGCCGUAA